rnacentral:rRNA from 1 species
AGGGUUUGAUUCUGGCUCAGAUUGAACGCUGGCGGCAGGCCUAACACAUGCAAGUCGAACGGUAACAGAGAGCAGCUUGCUGCUCUGCUGACGAGUGGCGGACGGGUGAGUAAUGUCUGGGAAACUGCCUGAUGGAGGGGGAUAACUACUGGAAACGGUAGCUAAUACCGCAUAACGUCUUCGGACCAAAGUGGGGGACCUUCGGGCCUCAUGCCAUCAGAUGUGCCCAGAUGGGAUUAGCUAGUAGGUGGGGUAACGGCUCACCUAGGCGACGAUCCCUAGCUGGUCUGAGAGGAUGACCAGCCACACUGGAACUGAGACACGGUCCAG